GGGGGUGAAUGGAAUCGACGGGAUGUGUUGAGGUGAGUAAGCAUGCAGCGCGUUGUGGGAGUAGCGCUAGAAAGCGAACCCUCAAACAAUAUUUGGCAACACUCAGUUCGCUCUCGCGGCCUAAUUAGAUUAGGAAGCUAGACGUCUCUCGGUACGGUAUGCCUGCCCGCUGUACCUAUGAGGCGCUCAUCAAAUGACAGGAUCGGGAUGCGACGCCCUUAAGCAUCCCUAAGAGUUAGGGGAUCCAUCUUCAACCAACGCCCUGCCAUUCGGGUAGGUUGAGGAAAAAAUAAUAGAUUCGGCUAAGCAUGUAGAAAGCUCAUUGAUCCCUUCUCCGGACCCGGGUUCGACUCCCGGCACCUCCACCC
rnacentral:tmRNA from 2 species